rnacentral:rRNA from 1 species
UACAGAGGGGGCAAGCGUUGUUCGGAAUUACUGGGCGUAAAGGGCGCGUAGGCGGCCUGCUAAGUCGAACGUGAAAUCCCUGGGCUCAACCCAGGAACUGCGUCCGAUACUGGUUGGCUUGAAUCCGGGAGAGGGAUGUGGAAUUCCUGGUGGUAGCGGUGAAAUGCGCAGAUAUCAGGAGGAACACCGGUGGCGAAGGCGGAUCUCUGGGCCUUACCUGACGCUGAGGAGCGAAAGCGUGGGUAGCGAACAGG